AGCAGGGACUGAUGAGAAGCCUCCGGGGGUGAUCAGGCCGCUGAAUCACAAAAUGAAAUAUGCAGCAGCAGCUCAGUGAUGAUUUAUAUUGGUAAAGCACCUGUCUGCUGGUGUGAUGAAUCCAGUUUCGUCUGGCUUCUCCUCGUCACUCUCCUCCUCCUCUUCUUCCUCUGAUGACUCUUCGUCUGAAGGCUCCAGCUCUCCCCAUGGCGUGUGAUCCACCUCCUCCUCCUCCGCCUUGGCCUGAGCACACAGACACAUUUAUAUGGGUGUGAUGUCUUGUUACCUGGAAGUCCACAGAAUUGGUCCCAAACACGUCACCGUAGAGUGGUUUACCCAUUUCAUCUACUGGUGGCUUCCCCCAGCCUCCAGCAUGAUAACCGAAAGUACAGUUCUGACAAA